rnacentral:rRNA from 1 species
AAGAACGCUGGCGGCAUGCCUAACACAUGCAAGUCGAACGGUAUGAUGCUUUCGGGCAUCAGAGAGUGGCGCACGGGUGAGUAACGCGUGGGAACCUGCCCCUGGGUACGGGACAACGUCUGGAAACGGGCGCUAAUACCGUAUACGUCCUUCGGGAGAAAGAUUUAUCGCCCUGGGAGGGGCCCGCGUCCGAUUAGCUUGUUGGUGGGGUAAUGGCCUACCAAGGCGACGAUCGGUAGCUGGUCUGAGAGGAUGAUCAGCCACACUGGGACUGAGACACGGCCCAGACUCCUGCGGGAGGCAGCAGUGGGGAAUAUUGGACAAUGGGGGCAACCCUGAUCCAGCAAUGCCGCGUGUGUGAUGAAGGCCUUAGGGUUGUAAAGCACUUUCACUGGUGAAGAUGAUGACGGUAUCCAGAGAAGAAGCCCCGGCUAACUCCGUGCCAGCAGCCGCGGUAAUACGGAGGGGGCAAGCGUUGUUCGGAAUUACUGGGCGUAAAGGGCGUGCAGGCUGUGAUU